rnacentral:rRNA from 1 species
AACGAACGCUGGCGGCAUGCCUAACACAUGCAAGUCGAACAAGAUCUUCGGAUCUAGUGGCGCACGGGUGCGUAACGCGUGGGAAUCUGCCCUUUGCUUCGGAAUAACAGUGAGAAAUUACUGCUAAUACCGGAUGAUGUCUUCGGACCAAAGAUUUAUCGGCAAAGGAUGAGCCCGCGUAGGAUUAGGUAGUUGGUGGGGUAAUGGCCUACCAAGCCGACGAUCCUUAGCUGGUCUGAGAGGAUGAUCAGCCACACUGGGACUGAGACACGGCCCAGACUCCUACGGGAGGCAGCAGUGGGGAAUAUUGGACAAUGGGGGAAACCCUGAUCCAGCAAUGCCGCGUGAGUGAUGAAGGCCUUAGGGUUGUAAAGCUCUUUUACCAGGGAUGAUAAUGACAGUACCUGGAGAAUAAGCUCCGGCUAACUCCGUG